rnacentral:rRNA from 1 species
UACGUAGGUGGCUAGCGUUGUCCGGAUUUACUGGGCGUAAAGCGCGCGCAGGCGGUCGUUCAAGUCGAGUGUGAAAGCCCCCGGCUCAACUGGGGAGGGUCACUCGAUACUGAUCGACUUGAAGGCAGAAGAGGGAAGCGGAAUUCCCGGUGUAGUGGUGAAAUUCGUAGAUAUCGAGAGGAACACCUGUGGCGAAGGCGGCCAACUGGACGAGUACUGACGCUGAGACACGAAAGCGUGGGGAGCAAACAGG